AUGAUGAGGAGAUUAUUGAGGGGCUCAUCGAGCCAAAGCUCGAAGGAAAAGGCACCGAAGCCUAAGUAUAAUUUGCCGCGCACCGCGGAGGUUCGGGCGUGUGAAUGGCCUUCCGAGGAUUUCUUGAGAGUAGCCGGGAUUUAUGAAGAUUUUCAUGAAUUGGCUCAUAAUGCAGGCCUCACCGCUUUCCUCCACGACCAAUGCGAUCAGUAUCUCUUACUCACAAACACCUUUGUGCAAAACUUUCAUUUUCAUUCUAGGAACUCAGCACCUACGGUGGAGUUUCAUUUAUAUGAUGAGCAUAAGGAGAUGUCACUUUAUGAUUUCUGUCGGAUUUGUUUAGUCCCUUUUGGGGGCAAGACAGAAGAACAACAUCAUGAUGAUGUGGAGGGGUUUAUUGAUACUAUCACUGUAGGAGAAACUAGGAAGGUUUCCGAUGCACGAAUCACUAGCAUACAUUUUCCUGUUUUACGUUACUUUGCAUUAUUUGCUAGUUGUUGCUUAUUUGGACGUGGAAACUGUGGAAACCUUAGUAUCCCUGAUAUAAUUAUUCUGCUCCACGGUUUAUACAGUGAUAACACUUUUAGUAUGGGUGGUAUUAUUGCUAAACGGUUAAGUCUGAACCGUACAAAGGGCUCCAUCUUUGGAGGCAUCUAUGCUACACGCCUAGCUGCACAUUUUAACAUACCUAUUAGGCAUGCUGAGAAGGAAGAAAAAGUGUUGCCUCAUGUUUAUCUAGAUUAUAAAAGUAUGGUGGCACAUGAUUUUAUUAUUAAGAAUAGGGCAGGAGAGCUUAAAUAUCAAUUGUUCUUUAAUAAACAUCAUCCUGAGAGUAUUACCUUGCCUGCUCCUUCUUUGUUUGAUUUGACUAUAGGCACGUACCUUGUUCCGUUAACGGCUAUCCACGCCUACCGGAAUCCUGCACCAACCGAGGAGCCAGAACCAGAACCACAAUUAGAUCCUUCACGACAGUCUAACUAUCAGUGGGAUCCGGAGACGAUUGCCAGCCAGUGGCAAUCGGAGCCUUCUUCUUCCUCAUCGUAG
rnacentral:rRNA from 1 species